UACAGAGGUCUCAAGCGUUGUUCGGAUUCAUUGGGUGUAAAGGGUUCGUAGGCGGUGUGGCAAGUCGGGAGUGAAAUCUCUGGGCUCAACUCAGAGACUGCUUCCGAAACUGCUGUGCUGGAGUGUGGGAGAGGCGCGUGGAAUUGCAGGUGUAGCGGUGAAAUGCGUAGAUAUUCGCAGGAACACCCGUGGCGAAAGGCGGCGCGCUGGCCCGACUACUGACGCUGAGGCAACGAAAGCGUGGGGAGCGA
rnacentral:rRNA from 1 species